rnacentral:lncRNA from 1 species
UACAACCAUGCAACUAUAAACGAAAAAUAAAGAAAGUAGACUAAUUAGAGAAAACAAGGAGGAAAAAUCAAAUUCAACCUUUUAAAAUUUCAAUCAAACUCUUCAUGUUGCUUUCCACAGAGGAAGAAUAAUCUAAUUCACCACUCAUGACUAAUUUGGGUGACAUUGAAAAUUCACUUUGUAACCCAUAAUUUAAUUCACCCUUCAUAACUACUUUGGAUGAAAUUUUAAAUUCACAGCAACGAUAUGGUGAUAUGAUUUUUGAUAGGGAGAGAUGAUGGUGGUGAAGACAUUUCAGAUCUCAGUUUUGUUUUGGUGAGAGAAAUAAAAAAUAACAAGCAAAAGAGUAAAAAAAAAAAAACUUGAAUUCCCGGUAGCCAAAAAUAGAGCAGAUACGUGGUCCAAUACAUGCGCGUGUGUUAAGAAGAGAGUGUCAGAGCGUUUGUUGGUAUCAAUUCUCUUUUAAUUUUUAUAGAAGCC